GUCCUGCCCGCUGCCGCACGAGUGGCCACGGGCGCGAUCCGGGCCAAACGUCUUGUCCUCCAUGAUCACUUUGGGAGCCGGGGAAAGACUUUGCCCGGCCUUGGGAGCUGGUGUGCGCCGUCCAGGUUUGGUGGAGACGGUGCAGCGCGAGAAGGAGGAGCUGCAGCUCGAGAAGCAGCAGCAGCCGCCGCCGCCGCAGAGUCCGGAUCACAGCGGUUACAGCCCGGGGCGUGUGCGUCCCGCGCCCAGCGGGUUCGGUUCCCCACGGAAUGUCCCCGGGGCGCCCCACGCGCUGACCCUGCAGCUGCCUCCGCCUUGGGCGACUGCCUCCUCCCUCAGGCAGGCUCGGUGAUUGGGACCGCGAGCUCCCAGCUCUUGGGCAGUGGGGAAGCCCCCGGGGGCGGGUGACCUCAGCUGGCCACGACCCAGCCCUCCCCCGUGCGGAUCUCGCUUAAGAUGGCAGCGGAGUCUGGGGAACUAAUCGGGGCUUGCGAGUUCAUGAAAGGUGAGGAGCAGCCACCCGGCAUCCUCCGGCCCUUCCACGCCACUCCCCCCCCCCAACUCCUCACGGCUCACCCCUUUGUCCCAAGCCUCUAUGCUGGGUUUCUUUUCGGGCCCUGUGUCCCUCAGUACUGCGGCUCGGCGCUCGGGCCCCUUCUCGCUACUCAACUCCCGGAGGACCCCCUGCUUCCGGCUUCUUUUUUCGCGUUCUCACUCCCUCUGCAGCUUCCUCGUACCCGGACAGUGCAGGCUUCUCUGCUUGGGAUCCUCCUGCAAACCUAUCUUGGUGGGGAGCCUGCUGGUUUUAAUCCUCCAUCCGCUAACUCUCUACUUCCUCGGUGGCUGGCCCGUGUUUUUGGGACACCCCCUACCCCCAACCACACCCCCCUAUCUUUCCUUCCUUCCUCUUGAAGUCUGCUAAGCUGCAGCGGCAGAAGCUCGCCUCUUUUCCCAUUCCACCGCAGCUGAGGUCUGAAGGUUUCCGAACCAAACUUGUGUCUCCAGUUUUGCGGGUACCCACAGCUCCUGUCUGCACCCGCCCGCACGCAACCAGGGGGUGAGGGAACUCAGAAGAUGCUCUGCCCCCUGCUGGGUCUUCUAGCCUCUUAGCAAGAUGUGCUUUUGGGGCUCUGUAGCUUUCUGGAAGAUCCUGUUUCUCCAAGAAUCCCACGUGUUAAAGGUCUUUAAACGAUGUGUAGCAGUUAUUAAUCCUUUGUGCAUGAUCUGCACUCUCAGUCUCGCGUCCCUGCUUCUCAUGUUCUGUCUUUUAAACUUGUCUUUCAGAUCGAUUAUAUUUUGCUACUUUAAGGAAUAGACCAAAAAGCACAAUAAAUAUCCACUAUUUCUCCAUCGACGAGGAGCUGGUCUAUGAAAAGUAAGUCCCCCCCUACUUUUUUUUUUAGCACCCCCUGAACUAGUUAGUUUGUUGGUUCUUUGAUAAUCGGGUUCCUUCACUUUUCCCAAAGAGUUCCGAAGGUAUUACUAGCUUUCUAUAGCUUGGGGAGGGAUGCACACUGUACGUAGUUUGGUCCUGUUAACACUGCAGUCCUUUUAGAACUUCACGAUAUUAAUUCUUCCUCCUCCCACAGCACGUCUGGGUUCCUCACACUCCCCAGAGUAGCACCAGGCCGUCAUACCUGGUGUCAUCACCAGACCUGUAAUUGGCCUGUGAAUCAGUCACUAGGUAUUUGUGGGAGCACCCACAGGGUAGAGGGCAGUCAGUGUGUGUGUGUGUGUAUACUACAGGUGCCGAAGCUUCACAGUGCACAAGGCUUCUGUUGUUUGGAAGGAUGUUUUUGUUUGUGUAGCCAGUUUUCUGGAAAGUGGGACGCAGGACUGUGGGGAGCUGGAUCCAAGUUACGUCUAUGUGGAAGAUUUCCAGUGUGAUUGAGUUGAACCUGAUGGCCUGAUGGUAUUAUUGUCCCCCCCCCCCCCCCCCCCCAGGGAGUGAAAAAUCAGAACCAGGAACUGAGCUCUGUGAAAGGCCAUGGAUGUAAAGGAAAAGGUUAUUUGAAUAUUUUAGGCACAGUAAAACAUUAAUUGGAGAGCCAUAUUUUCUUUCGACGAAAGCAGUAGACAGGAGUAGAAAGGCGGGCUUGGCUGUAUCCUUUUCCUAAAAGAGCUGCUCUUUCAGAUAAGCCUUGUAUACUCUAAUUUAGACAUUUCAUUUUAUUUUGUCACCAUCCUAAUCAAGUGGGCAGUCAAAUGAGCGGAGUGAAAUGAACCGUAACAAGUUUUCUAGGGUUCACCCUGUUAGAAAGUAUAUUGGUACGUCAGCCUCAGAAUUUAUGAGUACCACUGGGCCUUGGAAGAGGAAAAAUAUGCUGGACCUUAAAAGCCUAUGUUUUAUCUGAGAGAAAAUAAUCCUUAAUUGUUACUUGGUCCUAGGGGGGUCUUGGAACUGAUGUCUUCAGGACCUUUCUCCUAGAGCUGGGAAGAGGGUGCUUCCUGAAUGGCUAAAGAGACAGUGGGCAUGGCAUGAAAGAGCCUUUUGCUGUGGUUCAUGAAUGCCCAGAGCUGCGGAUGGAGGCAAAGAGAGGCCCGAAUCCCUGGUGUCAGAUGACAGCUCCACUCCUAGAGAAUGGAGUUCUAAGCAGCCAGUUCCCUGACCCUGGGCACCUGGAUGAUGUCACCACCUUCAGUGUUUAUUGAGUGGACACUCUAUUGUUGGGCACCGUCUUGGCUUUCUUGUCUGUGAGCUGAGGGCCUCGGGACCUUUGUGUGCCUGAGGGUAGGGACUGUGUAUAUACGCUAUUAUGUUCACUCUGCAGUGACUAAAGCGCCAGGGUUUAUUAAUAUGCAUUUGAACAGGCUCCAGUUAUUGAGGUCUGAAUCACUUCCCUUGAGAUUGCUAGAUAGUAGACUUAGCCAAACUUUACAGUUAAUCAACCUAUCACAGUGCACAAUGGUGUCUUAGAAAUAAUGAAGAUUUUACGUGAUUUUAAUAUUUGUACUUUAGGGUACAAGUUAUAUGCCUUUUUUUUUUUCACCAUGUUCCUGGUGUCUUCUAAGGACAGACUUGCUAGAGAGACCAUCUGGUUCACUUUGUGAGUUUGGAUGUGAACUUGAAACUGUAAGAAGCUGAGCAGGGUGUACAUCUCUUUAAUGCAAGCAUGCAUGGAACAAAGGUAGAGGCAGGGGGAUCCCUGUGAGUUUGAGGGGAGCCUGUUCUACACAGACAGUUUCAGACCAGUUAGAACUACAUAGUGGAAGCCUUUCUUGGGGGGGGGGGGCAUCUGGGAGUGGUGGCUUAUACCUGUCAAUCACCUGAGAGACUGAGGUAGAAGAGUUGCUUAAUUGAAGUUGAGUCUGUGUUACAAACUGACUUGCAAACAAGCUUGAGAAAAGAAGUGAGUGAGAAAAGAAAUGAUAAAGACUCAGCCUGAACAGAGCGUUUUCCUCCCUGGUGUGAUGAGCCGGAGCGUGUCACAGUAGUGACUCUGGUCCUGAUUACCUGCGCAAACUCAUCUUUUCGUUAUCCCUGUAUAGCCCUGGCUGUCCUGGAACUCACUUUGUAGACCAGGCUGGCCUUGAACUCAGAAAUCCACCUGCCUCUGCCUCCUGAGUGCUGGGAUUAAAGGCGUGCACCACGCCCAGCUGUACAAGCCUUUCAAGGUUUCAAAGAUCCCCAAACCAAUAUGAUGGAUGAUUAAGAGGGGCUGUGAUUAAAGGGAUAAGUUGCCCUAGGAGAAGCCUCACCUGAAGUAGGAAGUACUAAUGGAAGGGUGGAGACAUGUCCAGGAGAGGCGUUCAUUAAAGGCUCCAUGGAGGCAUUAAGGUCGGCUUGAAGGAUGGACAGGUGCCCAUGGAUAUGGGCGUGAGAGGAAAGAAAAGUGAGGACCAGGAGGGAGGCUCGGGAAGUGUGUUCGGCUCAUAGUAAGCUGUCCGCUUUGCCUGGUGUGUAUACAGGUCACAUGGGGGAGGUGUGGAAUAUGACACUGAGAGGCCAGCUGGGGACAGACUGAAUGCCACAGCGAGGAACCUGCAGUCACCCUGGCGUGCCUUGAGCCUCUUAGAAGAGCUCCAGGACAGAGAUGGCGUGGCUAGAUUCAUGCUAAUGGCAAAUAAAGGCAGAUGUUUACAGAGCAUUGGCCUCGGUGCUGGAUCCUUUGCUACAGCGAUGUCGACAGGGACAGUGAGGUUGGGUACUUUGCCCAGUGCCACUGAAAUAAGCAACAGAGCUGGAAUUUGAAAAGAUACCAUCUAGUUCCAGAGGAAAUACAUCCUCCAUCC
rnacentral:lncRNA from 1 species